rnacentral:rRNA from 1 species
CCGGGAAGGUUGGAAUCC